rnacentral:lncRNA from 1 species
ACUUGUUUGCGUUAGAUAUGUCUGUUUGUUAGCAUUAAUCAUACACAAAUCAUGCAUAUACAUGCAUAAUCAUAACAUUCAAGUAUUCAUGCUGCAUUCUUUGCCAUAUAUCCUUGCUUGUUAUCUCCUGCUAUUGGUGAAAUAUUCUUCCCCAAGCAGGUGUUUGUGUCUGAUCUCUCCAUAUAGAGUCAUCCCCAUAGGCAGAAAGUG